rnacentral:rRNA from 1 species
CCUACGGGAGGCAGCAGUGAGGAAUAUUGGUCAAUGGGCUUACGCCUGAACCAGCCAAGUCGCGUGAGGGAAGACUGCCCUAUGGGUUGUAAACCUCUUUUGUCAGGGAGCAACGCCGGCUACGUGUAGCCGGACUGUUAGUACCUGAAGAAAAAGCAUCGGCUAACUCCGUGCCAGCAGCCGCGGUAAUACGGAGGAUGCGAGCGUUAUCCGGAUUUAUUGGGUUUAAAGGGUGUGUAGGCGGAAUGCCAAGUCAGCGGUAAAAUCGCGGGGCUCAACCUCGCUCCGCCGUUGAAACUGGCGGUCUUGAGUGGGCGAGAAGUAUGCGGAAUGCGUGGUGUAGCGGUGAAAUGCAUAGAUAUCACGCAGAACUCCGAUUGCGAAGGCAGCAUACCGGCGCCCAACUGACGCUGAAGCACGAAAGCGUGGGUAUCGAACAGGAUUAGAUACCCUAGUAGUC